CAACUUCCCCUAAGGAAGGAUGGCUGAGUGAUGUGGCUGUAGCCAUAGUAACAAGGGCACCAAAAAGAGAAACAAAGUAAGCCAGCGGACCUACUGGGUGGGGAGUAGGGGCGGCUGCCCUGAGGCCCUAGGCCCUAGGGGCAGAUGGUCCUUCAUUCCCAGUCCAAACUAGACCUUUCCACAGCCUCCGUGCCCGUCAAAGCCUGAAGAGGUUUCAUCAACAUUCUCAAAAUUGUGUGUUGGACCACCUGACUGGACUCUAGACCCCCAGAGACAGAUCUGCCCACAGACCCACCCCUUGCUGUCUGUUCAAGAUGAAGAAACUGAGACAGGAGGAGUUGAGCCAUGGGCCCAGGACUAUCUCCGACUAG